UGCUGCAACUCGGAGAUGUACUCCCGGC
rnacentral:sRNA from 1 species